UACGUGAGGGCCAAGCGUUGUCCGGAUUUAUUGGGCGUAAAGAGCUCGUAGGCGGUUUGGAUAGUCGGGUGUGAAAACUCCGAGCUCAACUCGGAGACGCCACCCGAUACUGCCAUGACUAGAGUCCGGUAGGGGAUGCAGGGAAGUUCCUGGUGUAGCGGUGAAAUGCGCAGAUAUCAGGAGGAACACCGGUGGCGAAGGCGCUGCGUCUGGGCCGGUACUGACGCUGGGGAGCGAAAGCGUGGGUAGCAAAGAGGA
rnacentral:rRNA from 1 species